rnacentral:rRNA from 1 species
AUUGAACGCUGGCGGUAUGCUUAACACAUGCAAGUCGAACGUGAAAGGUCUUCGGACUGAGUAGAGUGGCGGACGGGUGAGUAACGCGUAGGAAUCUGCCUGGUAGUGGGGGACAACUCGGGGAAACUCGAGCUAAUACCGCAUACGCCCUACGGGGGAAAGAGGGGGACCAUAAGGCCUCUUGCUAUCAGAUGAGCCUGCGUUGGACUAGCUAGUUGGUAGGGUAAUGGCCUACCAAGGCGACGAUCCAUAGCUGGUCUGAGAGGAUGAUCAGCCACACUGGGACUGAGACACGGCCCAGACUCCUACGGGAGGCAGCAGUGGGGAAUAUUGGACAAUGGGCGCAAGCCUGAUCCAGCAAUACCGCGUGUGUGAAGAAGGCCUGCGGGUUGUAAAGCACUUUCAAUUGGGAAGA